UGGCAAAUUGGUCUUUCUACAACACCUGUCUGUCUGGAUAGAACACAGAAACAUAUUUGCUGCACCGGUCAAGCCUCACAGGAUUAAACACCAGUGUUCCUGAACACAGGGCUCGCCAGCUGCAGGAGAACUGAAUGCGCUGAUCGGGGGGUCUGAGAUGCUCAUGCUGAAGGCCUUGGAUGCUGGAGACUUGCUGAGACUCCUUUAGACUGCCCCAAAAGGACCACACCCUCCAACCUGGAGAUCGGUUCUGCUGAGCCCACUUGACCCACUUGAUGGUCCCAAGACUCCCACGUCGCAGGGGUCUGGAGCCGGUAGAGGGUUCUUAACAGGACUUGGAGAGAGAAGAUACAACAAGGACUUGUCAGGAUGAAAAACAAAGACGUGCCUGCUGCUGAGGUGUAUCAUUAGAGAGAAAAGAAAAAAUGAAGAGGAUCUGAAUGGCUCGUGGAUGUGGAAGAGGGUGGAGGAACAGCAAAUAAAAUC
rnacentral:lncRNA from 1 species